rnacentral:rRNA from 1 species
GAAACGACUGCUAAGACUGGAUAGGAAGAAAUAAGGCAUCUUAUUUCUUUUAAAAGACCUAGUAAUAGGUAUACUUUAGGAGGGGCUUGCGCCAUAUUAGUUAGUUGGUAGGGUAAUGGCCUACCAAGACGAUGAUGUGUAGCUGGACUGAGAGGUUGAACAGCCACAUUGGGACUGAGACACGGCCCAAACUCCUACGGGAGGCAGCAGUAAGGAAUUUUCGGCAAUGGAGGAAACUCUGACCGAGCAACGCCGCGUGAACGACGAAGUACUUUGGUAUGUAAAGUUCUUUUAUCAAGGAAGAAAAGCAAGUGGUGAACCAUUUGUUUGCCAGUACUUGAUGAAUAAGCCCCGGCUAAUUAUGUGCCAGCAGCCGCGGUAAGACAUAAGGGGCAAGUGUUAUCCGGAAUUAUUGGGCGUAAAGGGUGCGUAGGCGGUCUAGUAAGUCAGUGGUGUAAUGGCAACGCUCAACGUUGUCCGGCUAUUGAAACUGCUAAACUUGAGUUAGAUAGGAGGCAGAGUGGGAAUUUCCAUGUGUAGCGGUAAAAUGCGUAAAUAUAUGGAAGGAACACCAGAGGCGUAGGCGGCUCGCUGGGUCUUAACUGACGCUGAGGCACGAAAGCGUGGGGAGCAAACAGGAUUAGAUACCCUGGUAGUCCACGCCGUAAACGAUGAGUACUAAGUGUCGGGUUAAACCGGUACUGAAGUUAACACAUUAAGUGCUCCGCCUGAGUAGUACGUACGCAAGUAUGAAACUUAAAGGAAUUGACGGGACUCCGCACAAGCGGUGGAUCAUGUUGUUUAAUUCGAAGAUACCCGAAAAACCUUACCAGGUCUUGACAUGUUUUUGCGAAACGGUAGUAAUAUCGUAGAGGUUAUCAGAAACACAGGUGGUGCAUGGUUGUCGUCAGCUCGUGUCGUGAGAUGUUAGGUUAAGUCCUAAAACGAGCGAAACCCUUAUCGUUAGUUGCCAGCACGUUAUGGUGGGGACUUUAACGAGACUGCCAGUGAUAAACUGGAGGAAGGUGAGGAUCACGUCAAAUCAGCAUGCCCCUUAUGACCUGGGCUACAAACGUGAUACAAUGGCUGUUACAAAGGGUAGCUGAAACGUAAGUUCUUGGCCAAUCCCCAAAAACAGUCUCAGUCCGGUUUUGUAGUCUGCAACUCGACUUCAUGAAGUUGGAAUCGCUAUUCCCGUCACCAUGUCACGGUGAAUACGUUCUCGGGGUUUGUACACACCGCCCGUCA